GAUUCCAAAUUCCAUAUUCCAUAUAUGAUAAAGGGUAAUGACAUGAAGGAUGAAAAGGAAAACUACUAAAUGACAGAGACAUGGUAAAUUUCAGGCAUACCUUAGCAUCAUGAAAGACAGAUUCUGUGCUGAUAUCUCUAUUGUCAUCCGGAAGACCUCCAAACACACGAACACAAUAGACCUUGAUGACAGAAUUAGUAAUGGCUGUAUGGAGAUUCUUGAGCAAGGUGCUAAGCAUAAACAUUCCAUAAGAUGAAGAAGAGAGGAAGGAAACUAUAAAAAGUUGCUGACAAUGAAGCUGAAACUACUCAAAAAAGGUGGUGAUCAAAACACAAAAAAGAAGAAAUAAAGAAAUGACAGAGACAAAACACAGGGAUACCAAAACAAAUAUAUAAACCCUAAUCUGAGAGGAGCCGCCCUACUUUCUAAGAAGGAAGAGAGAGAGCCAAUGCUAGAACCAAUAAGAAUAGGAUCCAGACAGAGGAGCCACGCCUAUAAGCCUCUUCAUCUCUGCAAAUAGGUGGCUUUGUGAAGGAGAAGGAGAGAGAAAAAUAUAGGCAAUGAUUACAGAGAGAACCAAGAGAGAAGAAGAAGAAGAAACAACUUAUAACAGAUUGCAUAUUGCAAUAUACAUUAAGAGAAGAAGAGGAUGAAGAAUAAUUUCCAAUUAUUGAUGUGUGAAUUUUAAUGGAAGAGAGAUAAGAACAACAAAACAGGUAAAUAAAGCUUUGGAAACAAAUGAAGAACUGAAUCUCAAUCAUUUUAGAAAAGUGGGAUUUAUUUGUUUAAUACAUGAUGUAAAAAAGCAAAAUAUAGUGAACUGCACAAAACCAAUCAAAAUAAAGCUAAAAAUAUGCAAUUAAGCCUAAAAACACAGCAGCAUUGGAACCAUAAAUGAUGGUAAAAAUAUUCACAAAAAAAACCAAGAAAAAUACAAAAUAGCAAAACUGCAGAAACUCAUUUUCCCGCCAAAAUGCUGCCAGGUGGCAGUCAAAA